AACUAGUGACAGAGUGAGAGAGGGGGUGACUAGUGACAGAGUGAGGGAUGGGGUGACUAGUGACAGUCACCCCCUCUUUCACUCUGUCACUAGUCACCCCCUCUCUCACUCUGUCACCAGUCAU